AAGACGUGACUUAGAGCAUAUCCUUUAAUUUUCUCCGUAUUUAUUCUUAAAUCCAAAAUAGCAUUUUGACAUUUUCAUUUUCUAGCAUGCCUUCCUGGAUUUUAUGGUUUGAAUUGUGCUCACAUCUGUGACUGCAAAAACAGAGCCAACUGUAAUGCAGCAGUUGGACAAUGCAUUUGCCCAGCAGGUUUCCACGGUAGCCAAUGUGAAAAAGAAUGCAGGUCAGGCCAGUACGGACCCAACUGCUCUCUGAAGUGCCAGUGUGUCCACACAGCUCACUGUGACCCUCUCAAUGGGAGCUGCACUUGCCCCCCACCCCCCAAGAGAAUGGGUCCAACCUGAGAGGAAUAUGGUGUGGACAAUCCUCAAUAGCCAAACACUAACAGCUUCUCCGUGGACGAAUAGAAUUUUGCUGAGGUUCACCCGUGGUUCAUCAUCUUAACUUUGGCAGAGAAAUGUACUUACUCAACCAUCUUCAGCCCAGCCUCGCCUGUUGUGAGGUGAAAAACAGGACGUCUCAACUUUAUGGCCUCCGAGCAUAAGUUCCAUUCUCUAGCCUACCCUUCCCAACUUCCUUUUGCUGCAUAACAUACCCAAGAAAAUGAGAAUGUUUUUUCAAGAUCCCAAAUCGUAGUAACAUUUUGGACUAAUAAAUGAAACUUUUUAUAUGCACAGGAGGUAUUUAAAUUUGGAAGUAAGAACUGCUUUUCAGUUCAGGUUGGACUGCACUGAAAUAUUCACACCUAUUUACUGAAGACCUCAGUGGCCAUUAAGUAGCUGGAUCCUCUUUAGAAAUGUCUAGAAUUUCAUCUAUGUGUCCUCGGUAUCCUGCUUCACAGCCAAGUCAGCUUCAGAUUGUUAAUGCGUUGUAUUUCAAACAUGACUUUUGGUGUGGGAGGCUAUUAAGACUUUAGCCACGUAAAUAUCAGGGUAAAAGUAUGACGUGCAGACUUACAAUGAAUCAUCAAAAUGUUUAGUGGUGUUCUCGCCAUCACUGGUCAGCAGACAGGAAGAAAAACUUCUCUCAGCUAUCCUCAUCUGACCUGCAAAGACAAUAAGAUAUAUAAAAGCAGCAUUCUUUCUUGGGCUGCCAUCCACCACUGGACUCCCUUCAUUUCAAGACUUAAAAAAAACAAUGACUGCAAACAGGGAAGAAAAGCAAGACACCAGGUUUCUCUUCCUUACUAGAGAUGUUUGUUAUCACCAGUAAGACAGACAAGAAUUUGGCACGAAAAAAAAGUGAAAAAGCAUCGGUGCUUUAACCGCUCCUGAUAUCCUCUGCUAACAUCCUCUGAAAGUGCCCCAGAUAAACAGUGAGUCCUUUUCAUAAUUACCGAAGCUAUAGCUGUUGUUUAAAAUAAAUGAUUAUAUAAAACAGUUUUUUCUGAAUACUUAAGUAAUAAUAUUCAUUGUGUCAAAUCACCCAUAAUGUCACCCCAAGAUAACCACUGUUUACAUUUUCAUGUGCUUCUUUUCAUCUUUACAUACUCUAUAUCAUUUUUAUAGAAUGGAUUAUAUACAGAAUUUCGAACCCUGCUUUUCUUCUAAUGUUAUGUUUGAACAAUUUCCUAUCUCCUUAACACUCUUUGAGAAGAUGUCUGCAGUAAUUCAUCCUAAAUCUAGCAUUCUAAAUUCUAUCUUGAUAAUAUCUUCUUCUUGACCCC